rnacentral:rRNA from 1 species
UACGAAGGGUGCAAGCGUUACUCGGAAUUACUGGGCGUAAAGCGUGCGUAGGUGGUUUGUUAAGUCUGCUGUGAAAUCCCCGGGCUCAACCUGGGAAUGGCAGUGGAUACUGGCAAGCUAGAGUGCGGUAGAGGGAUGUGGAAUUCCCGGUGUAGCGGUGAAAUGUGUAGAGAUCGGGAGGAACACCGGUGGCGAAGGCGGCAUCCUGGACCAACACUGACACUGAGGAGCGAAAGCCAGGGGAGCAAACGGG